GGGGUGGCCCGGUGGCCGGGCGCGAUCUGGGGUCGCGGUAGGGGUUCGAUUCCCCUCACUCCA
rnacentral:tRNA from 1 species